rnacentral:rRNA from 1 species
GACCAGACUCCUACGGGAGGCAGCAGUGGGGAAUAUUGCACAAUGGGGGAAACCCUGAUGCAGCGACGCCGCGUGAGCGAAGAAGUAUUUCGGUAUGUAAAGCUCUAUCAGCAGGGAAGAAAAUGACGGUACCUGAGUAAGAAGCUCCGGCUAAAUACGUGCCAGCAGCCGCGGUAAUACGUAUGGAGCAAGCGUUAUCCGGAUUUACUGGGUGUAAAGGGAGCGCAGGCGGUCUGGCAAGUCUGAUGUGAAAUACCGGGGCUCAACUCCGGGACUGCAUUGGAAACUGUCAGACUGGAGUGUCGGAGAGGCAGGCGGAAUUCCUGGUGUAGCGGUGAAAUGCGUAGAUAUUAGGAGGAACACCAGUGGCGAAGGCGGCUUACUGGACUGUAACUGACGUUGAGGCUCGAAAGCGUGGGGAGCAAACAGGAUUAGAUACCCGCGUA